AAGUAUUGCUUUCAAGUACUUUAUACAAGACUGGAUAUCAGACACCACCACCACCACACUCACCAUUCAUAAUGCACAGCCACUCCAACGAGGGAGAGGGACAUUAUAGGUCUACAGCUCAGUUCAGACCCCAGACAGAGCAUCUCUCCGUGAUCAGUUACCACGUAUCUGCUUCAGGUAGGAGUCCUACUACGUUCUCAACUAUCCAGGAGAUAAAGGAAGGAAAUCGUCAGUUAAGAAGACAAAUGCAUAUUCCUUAUUGCUCUCUCAGCUUCAAGGGAAGAUAUCCACAUGCCUGUAAAAAAAAAAAAAAAAAAAAAAAAGUAAUGACCAUUUGUUUAAAAGAAACAAGAAGGGACCUUCUCUUUACCAAUGCAAUAUUAGCUUGUUUGUUAAAUUAAGUAAGCACUUAUAUUGUGUUUUUAUUGAAAUGUUUUAAUUUCAACAACUACCAAAUAGUACGUUAAGAGCCAGUGUUUUCAUUAAAGAUCCCUCCAGACAUGUUUUAAGAUAUAUAGAAAUACUUUGCUUUGAAUAAUGAUUUCUUUCUGAUAUGGUUUUUCCACA